rnacentral:rRNA from 1 species
GGAGUCUGGGCCGUGUCUCAGUCCCAAUGUGGCCGUUCAUCCUCUCAGACCGGCUACUGAUCGUCGCCUUGGUGAGCCGUUACCCCACCAACUAGCUAAUCAGACGCAGGCCCAUCUCUAAGUGAUAGCUUACAAGUAGAGGCCAUCUUUGGUAAGUCUCUCAUGCGAGUUACUUACAACAUUCGGUAUUAGCAGAACUUUCGCUCUGUUGUCCCCAUCUUAGAGGCAGGUUGCCUACGCGUUACUCACCCGUUUGCCACUAGGCUCAUAAAAGCAAGCUUCUAAUCGCCCCGUUCGACUUGCAUGUGUUAAGCCUGUAGCUAGCGUUCAUC